rnacentral:rRNA from 1 species
AGUUAGUUGGUGAGGUAAAGGCUCACCAAGGCGAUGAUGGUUAGGGGUCCUGAGAGGGUAGUCCCCCACACUGGUACUGAGACACGGACCAGACUCCUACGGGAGGCAGCAGUGAGGAAUAUUGGUCAAUGGGCGCUAGCCUGAACCAGCCAUGCCGCGUGCAGGAAGACGGCCCUACGGGUUGUAAACUGCUUUUCUGCAGGAAGAAUAUAUAGUCUUAGGGGUAUAUUGACGGUACUGCAGGAAUAAGCAUCGGCUAACUCCGUGCCAGCAGCCGCGGUAAUACGGAGGAUGCAAGCGUUAUCCGGAUUCAUUGGGUUUAAAGGGUGCGCAGGCUGUAAAGCAAGUCAGUGGUGAAAGCCCUGGGCUUAACUCAGGGAUUGCCAUUGAAACUGUUUCACUAGAGUGUAGUAGAGGACGGCGGAAUGAGUUGUGUAGCGGUGAAAUGCAUAGAUAUAACUCAGAACACCUAUUGCGUAGGCAGCUGUCUAUACUACAACUGACGCUGAGGCACGAAAGCGUGGGGAGCGAACAGGAUUAGAUACCCUGGUAGUCCACGCUGUAAACGAUGAUCACUCGUUGUUGGCUACUUAGUAGUCAGUGACCAAGGGAAACCGAUAAGUGAUCCACCUGGGGAGUACGUCGGCAACGAUGAAACUCAAAGGAAUUGACGGGGGCCCGCACAAGCGGAGGAACAUGUGGUUUAAUUCGAUGAUACGCGAGGAACCUUACCUGGGCUUAAAUGCUGGCUGCAUUGGAGGGAAACCUUCAUUUCCUACGGGACCGCCAGCAAGGUGCUGCAUGGUUGUCGUCAGCUCGUGCCGUGAGGUGUCGGGUUAAGUCCCAUAACGAGCGCAACCCCUAUCGCUAGUUGCCAGCAUGUAAUGGUGGGGACUCUAGCGAGACUGCCGGUGUAAACCGGAGGAAGCUGGGGAUGACGUCAAAUCAGCACGGCCCUUACGUCCAGGGCUACACACGUGUUACAAUGGCCGGUACAAAGAGCAGCCACCUGGCGACAGGGCGCUAAUCUCUAAAACCGGUCUCAGUUCGGAUCGAAGUCUGCAAUUCGACUUCGUGAAGGUGGAUUCGCUAGUAAUCGC